rnacentral:lncRNA from 1 species
AGCCGCCCGCCCCCGCCCCGCCGAAGCGCCCCGUAUUUUGCUGCAGCCCGCGGGGGGUCGCCGGAGGGAAGCCUAGAGUGCGCCGAGCACCGCCCCGGCAGGUGGAGGGGCUGCGGGAAAUAAAAUAACUUGGGCAGGAACUUGAUUGGUAGCAGGUUCAUCUUUGGUCCGCGGUAGGGAAUCUAAUGGAGAUGAAGAAUGGUGGGGAAGGGGGGGCGGUGUCUCCUUGGGAGCCUAACGUACGCUUCUUUAUUUUGUCAUUCUUUGGAGAUGGGUAAUCUUUCCUGGCAGGGGCAGACACAGCAAACUAAGGACGCAGGCCAAGCUCAUCCUAGCUAUUGUUGUCUGAGGCGCUCGCCGGGAGCCACCUGCGGGCGGGGGAGGGCGGAGGCCGCGGCUCCUCUCUGGAGCUCGCACCUUCAGCUCCCACCCUUGAGGAUGUACUGGAACAGCCCAAGUUUUUGUGUUCUUGUUUUGUUUUCUUUUGUCCCCUCUGGGAGUUUGAGAGUGCAUGUUUGUUAUUUUAUUUGAAAUCUCCCGUUUUCUAUUUCUAUUACUACCUGUUAGUGGUACUGUUCACAUUUGGGGCCAACAGUUUCAGGGUACUUUUACCCUCUCCUACCACCCCUAACAACAAUUUUUAAAAAAGAGAGAAACUAAAAGCCGGAACUUGAGAAAAUAGGAUUAUAUAAAAGAUAAAAUGACUGAUACAGAAUUCUCACCACGUAAAGGAUUUCUGCUGGCUUCCUUUAAGGCAUGAACUUCAAGUGCAACACAGUGAGAGACUUUACAAGUUUGAGUCACAAGCAUUUGUGGAAUGGAGCGGGGGAUGGGGAGCAGUUUUUGUUUUUUCUAAUUCUGGUGAGGUAAUAAAUUUUCCGGAACCUUUUUUAAGAAAGGUUUACAAGUAAAUAGAAAUAUCCGUUUU